rnacentral:rRNA from 1 species
GAUGAACGCUAGCGGCGGGCUUAAUACAUGCAAGUCAAGGGGUAGCAAUACACCGGCGUACGGGUGCGUAACGCGUAUGGAACCUGCCCUUAUCUGGGGGAUAACUCGGGGAAACUCGAGCUAAUACCGCAUAAGAUAGUAGAAUGGCAUCAUUCAGCUAUUAAAGAUUUAUCGGAUAAGGAUGGCCAUGCGUAAGAUUAGAUAGUUGGUGGGGUAACGGCUCACCAAGUCUACGAUCUUUAGGGGCUCUGAGAGGAGAAUCCCCCACACUGGCACUGAGAUACGGGCCAGACUCCUACGGGAGGCAGCAGUAGGGAAUAUUGGGCAAUGGGUGGAAGCCUGACCCAGCCACGCCGCGUGCAGGAAGAAGGCCCUCUGGGUUGUAAACUGCUUUUGAUUGGGAAGAAAGCAUCUCAUGCGUGGGAUUUUGACGGUACCAAUCGAAUAAGCCACGGCUAACUACGUGCCAGCCGCCGCCGUAAUAC